GGAAGGGUGACCGAGCGGCUUAAGGUGGCGGUCUUGAAAACCGUUGUGCGGAAACGCACCAGGGGUUCGAAUCCUCUCCCUUCCG
rnacentral:tRNA from 1 species